ensembl:lincRNA
GGAUAUGGUGGGGUGGAGGGUGGUGUUAGGCAGCUAAAGCUCAGCAUAUUCCCACAGGAAGAGUGUUUAUGUGGGAAAGGAGGCAUGGCUGGGUGUUGAUGGAGGGGAAUUACUGUUCCAACCUCCUACCUUCUCACUGGUUCCAGGACAGGGCCCAGCUCUGUUCAUGAGAACAAUUCUAGGGAUACUCAAGUAGCUAAGCACUGGCAGCAUUCUGGGUACAUCCUAAUACCAGUUGGUGGGACCCUGGCCCCAGAUAGGGCAGUGUGAGAUAGUUUUGCACACUCUUUGAACAGCUAACAAAUAGCUCAGGGCCAAUUUUUUGCUGGGUAUAACUCAGCUACUAAAACUUUCCUGUUUCCUGACUUUUAAAUAGUAAUUUGCAGAGGAAUAAGUAGGGAUACACACAAGCAAAAAGAGCAUCUGAUGAGGUUGCCACGAAAAUAUGCAGUCUUAUGUUCAUACAGUGUAGCCUAGGCAUCAUCUUUGUUGGUUCUGUUAGUUGAAUUGUUACAUUUGAACUUAGUAUUGAAAUGUUUCACAAAUAUCAUAAAGCUCAGCAGGCCCAAUAAAUACCAGAGGAGAAGGUGUGGAAUGCACCAACAUGAAGGGAUGUUUUAUUAGGAUUUUAAAAAAUUAAGUUAACUCAGAAAAAAAUUAAAAGUGGAUUUUUUGGCAUGACAGAUACUUCAUGUGCUUAUGGAAAUGAACCAUUGGACUGUUGCAAUGAUUCUGGAGGUCAGAGAUAAUUGCGCAACUUGCAAAACAUAAUAUAGCAGCAAUGACCAAGAAAAGUUAUGAAUAAGAAAAGGACCAAAUGGACCUCAGGAGAUGGGUGGGAGUUUUUGCAGGACUCAGCAAAAUGGAAUGGCUACAGAAACAGUAUUGUAUGAGCCCACCGUAGUACAUUGGUUUAAAGCCAGUGUGAAUGGAAGAGUUCACCUACUACAUUUCUGGUAUGUUCAGUAUGUUUACAGUGUGUACAAACUGCUGUACUUCAUAAAAAGAAUGUGCAGGCUAUAUCAUUUAAAAGAAUAGUGCUCAACAUUUUUCUACGAAGACACAAAUCAAAUUCAUCUGCACAGUCUCUCUUGCA